UACGAAGGGGGCUAGCGUUGUUCGGAAUUACUGGGCGUAAAGGGCGCGUAGGCGGCUGUGCAAGUCAGGUGUGAAAGCCCUGGGCUCAACCCAGGAUGUGCACUUGAUACUGCGCGGCUAGAGUGUCGGAGAGGAUGGUGGAAUUCCCCAGUGUAGAGGUGAAAUUCGUAGAUAUUGGGAAGAACACCGGUGGCGAAGGCGACCAUCUGGACGACAACUGACGCUGAGGCGCGAAAGCGUGGGGAGCAAACAGG
rnacentral:rRNA from 1 species